rnacentral:snRNA from 1 species
GUGCUCGCUUCGGCAGCACAUAUACUAAAAAUUGGAACGAUACAGAAGAUUAGCAUGGUCCCUGCUCAAGGAUGACACGCAAAUUCAUGAAGCGUUCCAUAUUAAA